rnacentral:snRNA from 1 species
UUGCUUUGGCAGCACAUAUACUAGAAUUGAAAUGACACAGAGAUUAGCACGGUCCCUGCACAAGGAUGACACACAAAUUCAUGAAGUGUUCCAUAUAUUU